rnacentral:rRNA from 1 species
UACAGAGGUCCCAAGCGUUGUUCGGAUUCACUGGGCGUAAAGCGCACGUAGGCGGUUUGUUAUGUCGGAUGUGAAAGCCCUUGGCUCAACUGAGGAAGUGCAUCCGAAACUGGCAAGCUAGAGUAUGUAAGAGGGUCGCGGAAUUCCCGGUGUAGAGGUGAAAUUCGUAGAUAUCGGGAGGAACACCGGUGGCGAAGGCGGCGACCUGGGACAAUACUGACGCUGAGGUGCGAAAGCGUGGGGAGCAAACAGG